CAGGCAGAGGCUGCUCUGUCCUGAGAGGAAGGAGAAGCAGCUCAGGUGGGAGGGGAGCAGGGGCAAGAAAACCUCAUCACAAAGAAAGAUAGUUCUCAUAAAGAGUUCCUUCCCUGCUUGCUCAAGGGACUAGGCUGAAGGACGUUUUUACAAUGAUUACUUGAAGAUACCAAGUCAACUGGGAAGUUAAGCCACUCCCUAUCCUGAAAUUUUGAGUCAAAAACCUCCAUUUGCACAGUAUUUUGCAAUACGUCUUAGUCUUGGGAGAUUUGGAGCAAUUCCUAUCAAAAUCCAGCAGAGGUGAUUGCAGGAUGAGAAACACAGCACAGGACCAUUAUCAUCAGGAUUCUGGAUUAACUCAUACUGACUUGGUUUUCAUCACCAAGGGAAGCCUGUGGCCAAACUGUAAAAUGGGUAAAGUUUUGCUUCAUUUCCUCCCUCUUGCAAAUAUGUUUUUUGAUUUGCCCCUGAUGAUUCUGGGUUUUCAGGUUGUAUAGAUUUUUUUCAGUCAAUGGUGUAAAGCACUCUGACAAACUCACCCCAGAACCAGGAAGCCUAGAGAGUUCCAAAUAAGAUGAAUAAGAUGAGUCUUAAGAAACCCACACUGAGACAUAUUAUAAUUAAAUUAAAUUGCCAAAAGUUAAAGAUAAGAGAAUCUUAAAAGCAGCAAGAGAAAAACAACUUGUUAUGUACCCGGGAACUCAUAAGGCUAU
rnacentral:lncRNA from 1 species